UAAAGAUUUUUAUGUUUUGCUUUGUUAUUUUUGUUAGUUUUGUUUCUAAUGUUUUUCUGUACAUGGAAUCCAGGAAAGGAAAAUCUAGAGAGGCAGGAAAUGGAGACCGGUUCCUUCAUAUGACAUGCCCACCAGAGGGGAGACAAGUCUCACCACCCUCACUUGUGAGAAGCAUCCUUGCAAAGGCAGAUGGUUCCUUCUUCAGGCAGUCCAUGGACUAUUUAUUGUAUUUUUCGCCAAGGUUCAAACUUACCAGCUGUUCUGUGGGAGAAAGAAGAGGCUGUCUGCUCCUAUAAAGAUUUAUAAGCUUGGAAACUUUAUACAAGGUUCGAUCAGCAAAACCCGUAAUUGGGUAUUUGGAAAACAAGGGAACAUGACUGUCCUGGAUCAGCUGAGUCACCGAGAAGCCUGGUCCUUUUGACUUAGAAGAGUACACGUGGGCUUCAUUCUGGGUGCACAUUGAACGUAUUCGUGUUUGUACGUGGUGUGAUGGGAAGGCUGAUAAUGAGAGAGGGGAUGUGCUUUCAUUUCUGUGGCUUAGCCUUUCUGUGUCAGCCUCAGUUCUAUUUUGUCCCCUUCGCCCUUAAAAACAUCUCAAUGGAUACAAGAGUGUUGAUUGACCAGGACAUCUGUAAAAAUAAAAAAUUAAGGCAAGGUG